rnacentral:rRNA from 1 species
UACAGAGGUCUCAAGCGUUGUUCGGAUUCAUUGGGCGUAAAGGGUGCGUAGGCGGCGCGGUAAGUCGGGUGUGAAAUCUCGGGGCUUAACUCCGAAACUGCAUUCGAUACUGCCGUGCUUGAGGACUGGAGAGGAGACUGGAAUUUACGGUGUAGCGGUGAAAUGCGUAGAUAUCGUAAGGAAGACCAGUGGCGAAGGCGGGCCUCUGGACAGUUCCUGACGCUGAGGCACGAAGGCCAGGGGAGCAAACGGG